rnacentral:rRNA from 1 species
GUGCCAGCAGCCGCGGUAAUACGUAGGUGGCAAGCGUUGUCCGGAAUUAUUGGGCGUAAAGCGCGCGCAGGCGGUUUCUUAAGUCUGAUGUGAAAGCCCACGGCUCAACCGUGGAGGGUCAUUGGAAACUGGGGAACUUGAGUGCAGAAGAGGAGAGUGGAAUUCCACGUGUAGCGGUGAAAUGCGUAGAGAUGUGGAGGAACACCAGUGGCGAAGGCGACUCUCUGGUCUGUAACUGACGCUGAGGCGCGAAAGCGUGGGGAGCAAACGGGAUUAGAUACCCGGGUAGUCCACGCCGUAAACGAUGGGCACUAGGUGUCGGGGGUAUCGACCCCCUCGGUGCCGGCGCAAACGCAAUAAGUGCCCCGCCUGGGGAGUACGGCCGCAAGGCUAAAACUCAAAGAAAUUGACGGGA